CCAUCAUCCUAGCCUGUUAUCUGUGAUAAAGCACACUGAAGUUAGGUUUGGAAUGCAUCCUUAUCAUGAAUGCUCUACACCUCCACCUCCAUCUCCCACAACCUAGGUAACAGCUUUGAGACUCACUAAAAGUUGAACCCCCUGAAUGAUGUAGGCUAUGGGGCCACAUAAGACUUUGUCCAUCCAGGGUUACGAUGAAUGCAAAAUAUAAACUAAAGAACCAACAUUUUUC